rnacentral:rRNA from 1 species
AUUGAACGCUGGCGGCAGGCUUAACACAUGCAAGUCGAGCGGGGUGAUGGUGCUUGCACUAUCACUUAGCGGCGGACGGGUGAGUAAUGCUUAGGAAUCUGCCUAUUAGUGGGGGACAGCAUCUCGAAAGGGAUGCUAAUACCGCAUACGUCCUACGGGAGAAAGCAGGGGAUCACUUGUGACCUUGCGCUAAUAGAUGAGCCUAAGUCGGAUUAGCUAGUUGGUGGGGUAAAGGCCUACCAAGGCGACGAUCUGUAGCGGGUCUGAGAGGAUGAUCCGCCACACUGGGACUGGGACACGGCCCAGACUCCUACGGGAGGCAGCAGUGGGGAAUAUUGGACAAUGGGGGGAACCCUGAUCCAGCCAUGCCGCGUGUGUGAAGAAGGCCUUAUGGUUAUAUAGCACUUUAAGCGAGGAGGAGGCUCUUUUGGUUAAUACCCAAGAUGAGUGGACGUUACUCGCAGAAUAAGCACCGGCUAACUCUGUGCCAGCCGCCGCUGUAA